GGCAGGAGCAACAGCUAGUGUCCCAGGACUUUUCUUCAGAUAAGGAGGAGGCAAAGGAGGAUUUCUCCACUUCAUUCAACAAGAAAAGAUGCCCUGGGUUCAACUGAGACAGGCAAGGGAAGAACUGGAAUGAAGGUCAGGCUUGUACAGGACUCAAGUUGAUCAAGUCCGUGGCCCUGUGGCCGUGGAAGCCCAGCUCCUGACAUACUUUGGGAAAGUGCUAGU
rnacentral:lncRNA from 1 species